rnacentral:rRNA from 1 species
GACAGAGGGGGCAAGCGUUGUUCGGAAUUACUGGGCGUAAAGGGCGCGUAGGCGGCCUUCUAAGUCGAACGUGAAAUCCCCGGGCUCAACCCGGGAACUGCGUCCGAUACUGGAAGGCUUGAAUCCGGGAGAGGGAUGUGGAAUUCCAGGUGUAGCGGUGAAAUGCGUAGAUAUCUGGAGGAACACCGGUGGCGAAGGCGGCAUCCUGGACCGGCAUUGACGCUGAGGCGCGAAAGCCAGGGGAGCAAACGGG